UGGGGAAUAUUGGACAAUGGGGGAAACCCUGAUCCAGCAAUACCGCGUGAAUGAAGAAGGCCCUUGGGUUGUAAAGUUCUUUUAUUAGGGAAGAUGAUGACGGUACCUAAUGAAUAAGCACCGGCUAACUUCGUGCCAGCAGCCGCGGUAAUACGAAGGGUGCUAGCGUUGUUCGGAAUUAUUGGGCGUAAAGGGCGUGUAGGCGGGAGCGUGCGUCAGGUGUGAAAGCCCUGGGCUUAACCUAGGAAUAGCAUUUGAUACGGCGCUUCUUUGAGUGCGAGAGGGGAAAAUGGAAUGGCGAGUGGAGCAGUGAAAUGCGUUGAUAUUCGUUGGAACACCGGAGGCGAAGGCGAUUUUCUGGCUCGCAACUGACGCUAAGGCGCGAAAGCGUGGGGAGCAAACAGG
rnacentral:rRNA from 1 species